CUUUGGGUGUGCUUUGUGCUCCAGGGGGAAAGAACUAGAACUGCAUCCACGAGUUUGUUAAAGCUGCACUAAAGGAAGCUGUCUCCAUCUUCAUGCUGUGAACUCCUUUCUCCUGUUUUCUCUCAACACUUGGGAAGACGUUGUAUCUGUCUUAGCUGAAGAUCAGGAGAUCAGUAUCAUCUGCAUUUUCCCAAACAUCAAAGGAAGGCAGUUUUUCACAAGGGGGUCAGCUGUACUCAUAUGCCCCGUUUUACGUGUGAUGAUGAUGACGCUGUUGCUGCUAUUGACAAUGAAUUUAUCCCACCAGAAGAUACACAUUUCAGUAAAAAUGAGGCAGAUAUACCAUGGAGACUAGGAAAAGGCUCCUAAAAGACCAUCUUCUCCAGGAAUCUUCCAUACCACAAAUAUGAGACAACAUUU
rnacentral:lncRNA from 1 species